GACUCUCGGCAACGGAUAUCUCGGCUUUCGCAUCGAUGAAGAACGUAGCGAAAUGCAAUACUUGGUGUGCACCGGUCGUCUCGUCCAUUCUGUCGGCGAUGCGCUCCUAGCCUUAACUGGCCUGGUCGUACCUCCGGCGCUGUUACUUUGAAGAAAUUAGAGUGCUC
rnacentral:rRNA from 1 species